rnacentral:misc_RNA from 1 species
GAUGAAGAACGUAGCGAAAUGCGAUACGUAAUGUGAAUUGAAAAUUCAGUGAAUCAUCGAGUCUUUGAACGCACAUUGCGCCCCCUGGUAUUCCGGGGGGCAUGCCUGUCCGAGCGUCAUUGCUGCCCUCAAGCACGGCUUGUGUGUUGGGCCCCGUCCUCCGAUCCCGGGGGACGGGCCCGAAAGGCAGCGGCGGCACCGCGUCCGGUCCUCGAGCGUAUGGGGCUUUGUCACCCGCUCUGUAGGCCCGGCCGGCGCUUGCCGAUCAACCCAAAUUUUUAUCCAGGUUGACCUCGGAUCAGGUAGGGAUACCCGCUGAACUUAAGCAUAUCAAUAAGCGGAGGA